rnacentral:rRNA from 1 species
GACGAACGCUGGCGGCGUGCUUAACACAUGCAAGUCGAACGAAGUGGCGAACGGGUGAGUAACGCGUAAUCAACCUGCCCUUCAGCGGGGGACAACAGUUGGAAACGACUGCUAAUACAGCAUCCUGAAGGAGGGGAUUGCGUCUGAUUAGCUAGUUGGGGGAGUAACGGCCCACCAAGGCGAUGAUGAGUAGCCGGUCUGAGAGGAUGAACGGCCACAUUGGGACUUGGACACGGCCCAGACUCCGACGGGAGGCAGCAGUGGGGAAUCGUCCGCAAUGGACGAAAGUCUGACGGAGCAACGCCGCGGGAGGGAUGACGGCCUUCGGGUUGUAAAGCUCUGUUAAUCGGUACGCGGUACCGGAAUAGAAAGCCACGGCUAACUACGUGCCAGCCGCCGCGGUAAUAC